rnacentral:lncRNA from 1 species
CUGUUGUUUUUGUGGUCUGACGAUGCUAUAUCCUAAUCUUUAGUUUUUUGUGUAGUGUUUUAUGAACUGCUGUUUUGGUGGGCCGGGGAUGAUACAUCCUUUUCUUCGGUUAUAUGUGUAGUGUUGAAUGGCCUGUUGUUUGCGUUGGCUGGUGUUGCUCAAUCUAAAUCUUUACAGUUCUGUGUAGUGUUGAAUGGACUGUUGUUUUUAGUGGGCUGGUAAUGUUCAAUCCCAAUCUUAAGUUUUCUGUGUAGUGUUUUAUGGACUGUUGUUUUGAUGCGCCUGUAACGAUCAAUUCCUAUC